AACGUAGGAGACAAACGUUAUCCGGAGUUACUGGGCGUAAAGGGCGUGUAGGUGGUUCUGUAAGUCUGGCGUGAAAUUUUUCGGCUUAACCGGGAAAGGUCGUCGGAUACUGCAGGGCUAGAGGACGGUAGAGGCGUGUGGAAUUCCGGGUGUAGUGGUGAAAUGCGUAGAGAUCCGGAAGAACACCGGUGGCGAAGGCGGCCUGCUGGGCAGUAGCUGACGCUGAUGCGCGACAGCGUGGGGAGCAAACAGG
rnacentral:rRNA from 1 species